rnacentral:rRNA from 1 species
AACGAACGCUGGCGGCAGGCUUAACACAUGCAAGUCGAACGCCCCGCAAGGGGAGUGGCGCACGGGUGAGUAACGCGUGGGAAUAUGCCCUUCGGUUCGGAAUAACACAGGGAAACUUGUGCUAAUACCGGAUACGAUCUACGGAUGAAAGAUUUAUCGCCGAGGGAGUAGCCCGCGUAGGAUUAGCUAGUUGGUGAGGUAAUGGCUCACCAAGGCGACGAUCCUUAGCUGGUCUGAGAGGAUGAUCAGCCACACUGGGACUGAGACACGGCCCAGACUCCUACGGGAGGCAGCAGUGGGGAAUAUUGGACAAUGGGCGAAAGCCUGAUCCAGCCAUGCCGCGUGAGUGAUGAAGGCCUUAGGGUUGUAAAGCUCUUUCGCCAGGGAAGAUAAUGAGU